rnacentral:tRNA from 1 species
UGGCUUGGCUGGAAGAGCAUGAGACUCUUGAUCUCAGUGUUGUGGGUUUGAGUCCCAC